rnacentral:rRNA from 1 species
AUACGGAGGAUCCGAGCGUUAUCCGGAUUUAUUGGGUUUAAAGGGUGCGCAGGCGGGAGAUUAAGUCGGCGGUGAAAUUUUGCAGCUCAAAUGUAAAAGUGCCUUCGAAACUGGUUUCCUUGAGUGUAUAUGAAGUAGGCGGAAUUUGGGGUGGUGCGGUGAAAUGCAUAGAUAUCCCGAGGAACUCCGAUUGCGCAGGCAGCUUACUAAACUACUACUGACGCUCAGGCACGAAGGCGUGGGGAUCAAACAGGAUUAGAUACCCUGGUAGUCCACGCAGUAAACGAUGAUUACUAGCUGUUUGCGAUACAAUGUAAGCGGCUGAGCGAAAGCGUUAAGUAAUCCACCUGGGGAGUACGUUCGCAAGAAUGAAACUCAAAGGAAUUGACGGGG